GUUCCUUCACAAGGCUGGAACAGGAGAGUACCCGCAGUGGGGCAGGCGCCUUGGUCUCUUUUUUCCACUGUCUUUUUCUUUUGUUUUUCUUAUUUAAGGUUUUGGCCAUGAACUCAGGACAGGUAUGGUUAAUAAACAGGUUACAGGGGAGAGAAGGGGCAGGGAAGGCCUGGGGGAGGGAAUGGCAGACCCCCACCCACCCCAGGCAGGUUCUGUACAGGAGAAAGGACUCACAGGAGGGAGGGACACUGUCUUCAGGGGGCUCUCUGGAGCCACGCUGCCUACGAAAAAUAUUUACAUGCAUUUGCCACGCUGAGGCCAGGGUCACUGUGGUGCCAGGCAGGCACCUGGGGGAUGCUGGGGCCAUCGGCUCUCAGAUGGCAACUCCCAGGGCCCAGUCUCGAUGCCUCUGUAAAUCUGUACAGUUUGCGGGCUUCUAUUUACAGGCAAGAGGCCUGGGGAGGCAAGUCCAGGGUUGUAGUUGUUGGGAGAAGAAAUCCAGAGAACACAGGAGGCAGCCACUCCUACCCCAUGAGGCAGAGGGUCUGCUCCCUGUGUCCAGGGGCCCCCACCAGGAGACAGGGUCUGGGCUCUCCAGGUCCUGGCCUGCCUCGUGCUCUGGCAGCCAAGGCCCCAGAGGCUCUCAAGCCACAGAAGCUCCCUCUCAUUUGGAACUCCCUGUGCUUCCAGCAAAUGCCAAAGCCCCUCAGAACACUCCAUCACAGGCAGGGGUAGGGGGACAUGAGGGCCCUGCACCCACAUUGCACCUGGGAGAGCCUAGCUGGUCCUCACUGAACUCUCUUGGACUGCCUUGCCCCGGUCAGGCCGGCCAGGGCAGAUUUGGGCUGGUCAGACUCCUCAUCCUCAGGAGGAUAAAGCCUGGACAUCUGCCUUGGGUCCAGGGAUCCAUGAACAAGGCCCCUGGCCUCUUCUCUCAAAUGCUAAGGACACAGAGAAGAGAAGCCAGUGCCUGGAGCCCAAGCCCCAAAUCAGAAGCCAACCCCUGGGAUGUGAGGAGCCAGGCCUGCCGGGGCCACCCCCACCAUUGGCUCCAGCCCUACUGAGAAACUGCACCCACUGUUGGGUCUCCCACCUGGGGUCCAGCAUCUUCUGGGGCUGGGGGCCCAAGCCCUUUUCUCCUCUAUCCUCCCUGGUUUCUCAGCCUCGGCCUGCCCAGGCCGUCUCACCAGAGCUGUGCUCUCCAAGACAGCAGCACCCCAGGGAGCAGGGUAGGGAGGCUGAGCCUUGUGGUCUGUGGCCCCAGGACCCAGCCCUUCUGCUCCAAAGAUGACUGA
rnacentral:lncRNA from 1 species